CAGCUUUUUUUAAAUUAAUGAAGUUGUCGAGUUGCUUUGCUCGUAAACGAGCCCAAACCAAGUGAUUGUGCAUCGCAUGAAUUUGCGCCGCCGCAAGUGCAGCUGCUUCUGGAUGCACGACUGUCGUACAGCCGAGUCCUGGACGUCAAGUGAGGACCACACGCUUCGUUCAAUAUUGUCCGAUCUCAAAGGUGGGGAAUUUAUGACAGGCAAGACUGUAUUGCCGGAGAGUACUGGACCCAAACCAUUGCUGCGGCCGGCUACCGCUAUCAGUACCACCUACGGAAAAAAACAAGAAAAAACUUGUGAUAAACGAAAAUAAACAUCUUUUUAUAGCUAUCGCUUUCUUUAUCGUAAUAAGUUUUGUAAUUAAAACAUAACAGGAUAACGCAGACCACUUCGACGGAGCAAUGGUCUUGAUCGGAUGGCGAGCCCAUGAAUAUAACCACCAAUGGAGCAGGUGCUUCAAUAAUAUAAUCCAACUGCUCCUCUACCCAUUUGAAGUUACGCUUUACGGUCUCCAAAUUUUGUUGCGUUACGUUAGACAGAUCCCUGUACACCUAGUAGCAACAUUAUAAAAAAUUUUAAACAACAGGCCAGAGUCUCCAGGAAUCACUGUCGAUGAUAUCAGCUAAUAAAAUUUCCCCGCUCGUAUCUACGCCGAAUUCUACUUUCAUAUCUAUCAACGAGCUGUUAGCUACCGUCCAAGCUCUUUCAAGAAUCUCGAAAAC